AAGAGCAUAUCUUAUACGCACAACACUGAAUGGUAAUGAAAAAAAUUGAAGAGUAAUUAUUUAAAAAACGUAAUUAAAAAAAAAAAAAGUCUCUACUUGGGUUUCAUUUCAUUUUAUUAAAAAUUAUUUUUCAAAGUCGAACAUUAUUUUCACCAUAAAUUUUUAUUACCUAUUUUUCCAUCACUCAAUUGGGAAAAAAUUAAAAAAUAAAUAAAUAAAAAAUAAAAAUAGAACGAGACACAAAACAUAAGAACGCUGUCAAUAAAGAUCCCAACACACAAUAGGUGAAAUAUGAGCAAUGAACACGUUUUUAAGGGUUAUUAUCCCAUCAGCUAGUACGUGAAAAUAAGAAAAGCUAAUCUAGACGGCAGCCACCGUCUCGCCACCGGAGGCGGCGGUUGCAGCUUUCUUCUUCGAUACGAAUGAACACUUCUCUUUUCUCUCAUCCUGAGUCAUCUGUUGUUGUCUACACUCUGAACUGCAAAAAGCACUAUCUCCCCUGGACAAAAUGAAUUAAGAAAUAAUUAGAUCAAAAUAAUUCAUUACCCUAUCAAUCUUGUAUUUUGUAGAGGUUGACAGUAUUGCAUGUAAAUUCGUAUAAAAUUAAUUCAGACUUUUUUAAAGGAUGAUUGAUCUUCACCGCUAGAAAAUAAAUCCAGGUCAAGAAAUUCUAGAGAGAGAAUCUAAGUACUAAGGAGGUUGUAUAGAUAUAUACCUAUACUAGGUGAAAUAUGAGCAAUGAACACGUUUUUAAGGGUUAUUAUCCCAUCAGCUAGUACGUGAAAAUAAGAAAAGCUAAUCUAGACGGCGGCCACCGUCUCGCCACCGGCGGCGGCGGUUGCAGCUUUCUUCUUCGAUACGAAUGAACACUUC
rnacentral:lncRNA from 1 species